rnacentral:misc_RNA from 1 species
AAGUCGUAACAAGGUCUCCGUUGGUGAACCAGCGGAGGGAUCAUUACAGAGUCGUAAAACACUCCCAAACCCAUGUGAACUUACCAUUGUUGCCUCGGCGGACCUACCCUGUAGCUUGCUACCCUGUAGCCCGCCGGUGGACCAUUAAACUCUUGUUAUUCUAUGGAUAUCUGAGCGUCUUAUUUAAUAAGUUAAAACUUUCAACAACGGAUCUCUUGGUUCUG